UACGUAGGAUCCGAGCGUUGUCCGGAUUUACUGGGUGUAAAGGGCGUGUAGGUGGAUUGGCAAGUCGGUGGUGAAAGCCUGCGGCUCAACCGCAGAAUUGCCCUCGAUACUACCAAUCUUGAGUACGGCAGAGGGAGAUGGAAUUCAUGGUGUAGCGGUGAAAUGUGUAGAUAUCAUGAAGAACACCGGUAGCGAAGGCGGUCUCCUGGUCCGUUACUGACACUGAGGCGCGAAAGCGUGGGGAGCAAACAGG
rnacentral:rRNA from 1 species